UUUCAGAGAAACAAGCCUUCAACAAAAGACAUCAUUGAUAAACAGCUUGCUUUAAAGGCAGAACUAAAGUUAGAUUUGUCGACAUUGGAUGACGAAAUAGAGGAUGAAGAUAUACCAGACACAUCAAGGACAACAGACAGUGAAUGGUUCAGUAUUAGUUUAAGUGACACAGAAGAAACUCCAAGACCACAUUUAAAGCCAUUCUUUUCAUCAGUAUUAGAAGACACACAUGUUUCAACAAUUACUAGAAAAUCAAAAGACUCUGUAAUAGAUAUAGAAGUUGACUUUCAAUCCAAACCUAUUAGUGGAUUCACGAGCUUUCGACAAUGGUUCUGUCAACUAUUUUGUUGUCAUAGCAAACCUGAUGAAGAUUUUGAACAUUGAUUAUAAUUAUUUUCGUUUUUUAUUUGUUUGUUGAAUAAAUCUUUUAUUUUUGUUUAA